rnacentral:misc_RNA from 1 species
AAGUCGUAACAAGGUUUCCGUAGGUGAACCUGCGGAAGGAUCAUUACCCUUUUUUUACGGGGGCCGGAUCCAAAGUUUGGGCUUCGGUCUCGCUCUUUGCCCCGCCCUGUCUGAAUCUACCCAUUGUUUUUUCGCGUACUCUCUGUUUCCUUGGUGGGCUUGCCCCGCCACAAGGACACUAUAACAACCUUUUGCAAUUUGCAGUCAGCGUCGAAAACAAUAUAAUUACA